rnacentral:rRNA from 1 species
UACGUAGGGACCGAGCGUUGUCCGGAAUCAUUGGGCGUAAAGAGCGUGUAGGCGGCUAUUUAAGUCCUGCGUGAAAUCCUGCGGCUCAACCGCAGACGGUCGUGGGAAACUGGAUGGCUAGAGUGCGGGAGAGGAGAGUGUAAUUCCCGGUGUAGCGGUGAAAUGCGCAGAUAUCGGGAAGAACACCCGUGGCGAAGGCGGCUCUCUGGAACGCAACUGACGCUGAGACGCGAAAGCGUGGGGAGCAAACAGG